AUUUUAACUCUCCCUCCUAUUUUUAUUGGCCAAAAAAAUAAACAUUAAAAAUAAUAAAUCAAAAAGACUUUCAUUUUCUGAAGAUCGAGCUUUCCCUUUCCCUUUCCAUUUCAUUUGCUGAAGAUCGAGCUUUUCCUUUCCCUUUUCCUUUCCCUUUCAUUUCCUGAAGAUCGAGCUUUUCCUUCAAGUCACGCUUCCCUUUCCUUCUCCGAGCAGAAGAACUCACAAUUUCUCUUUUCUGAGCUGAAGUCGAACUGAAGAUCGACUGAAGAUCGAGCUGCAGAACUCAUCGAGCUGACUGAGCUUUCUCUUCUCCGAGCUGAAGAAUUCGUCAAGAAGGAAUUGAUUGGGGUUGUUGGCAAGAUGAACUGAAGUUAAGUCUCUCCGUCACACUUUUCUCUCAGAUUUCUCGUUGCAGAACUUGAUUUCAGACAGAUUUAGGGUAUACCGAUAUAAUUAACAUUGAGAAACAUUUUUGGAGGAUUCAAGGUUUGAUUUUGCAUAGCACAAGAGCCAUGAAUAGGUAAUUAAUAUGGAUAUCUUCUAGGAAUUCAAAUAUCCCAUCGAAGGAUUGGAUGAAUUUAGCAAGGUUAUACUAGAUGGAUCAAUCACGAGGAAUGGUAUAUCAAGUUGAAUGUUGAAGAUAAUAUGGAAUGCUCGCGUGAUGAUAUUGAUGGGUUGUUGAAUGAUCAAUUUAGAGAUUUUGCACAGGCCGAGGGAGCUUAUGAUGGUCCAAAAUGCCAAAAAAUAUUAUAACUUAGUUGAAGAGGCAAGACAAGAAUUAUAUCCACGUUGUACAGGAUUCUCUAAAUUAUCAUUCACACUUCAUUUAUAUUUGUUGAAGUCUCUACAUGGAUGGAGCAAUGACUCAUUCACUUCUCCUUUAGAGUUACUAAAAUAGGCGAUGCCCGAGUUGAACAUUCCUUCGUCUUACAAUAAAACCAAGUCUAUGGUUAAGAAUCUCGGUCUUGAUUAUGAGAAAAUUGAUGCAUGUCCAAAUGAUUGCAUGUUGUUUAGGAAUGAUCAUAAAGAUGAUGAGUUUUGUCAUACAUGCGGAGCUUCACGAUAUAUUAAAAAUCCUGAAGUUGAUUGUGAGGAUUCUUUGAGGUGGCAUGAUGAGGAGCGUUCUAAAGAUGGAAAGUCAAUACAUCCUGCUGAUGGUCUAGCAUGGAAAGAUUUUUAUAGGAUGCAUUCAGAUUUUGCACUAGAUUUUCGCAAUGUGAGACUUGGAUUAGCAACUGAUGGGUUCAAUCCAUUUCGAACCAUGAGUAUAUCUCAUAGUACAUGGCCAGCUAUGUUGAUGGCGUAUAAUCUGCCUCCUUGGAUGUGCAUGAAAUAUGAAUAUUCUAUACUUUCUUUACUUAUACCUGGGCCACGAUCACCUGGCAAUGACAUUGAUAUUUUCUUACAACCAUUGAUAGAUUAGUUAAAAUUGUUGUGGGAUUCUGGGGUUGAAACAUAUGAUGCUUCAAGAAAUCAAACUUUUCAAAUGGGAGCAGCUCUUACGUGGACAAUCAAUGACUUUCGUGCAUAUUCUAUGUUGUCUGGAUAGAGUAC